AGUGAACGCUGGCGGUAGGCCUAACACAUGCAAGUCGAACGGCAGCACAGUAAGAGCUUGCUCUUACGGGUGGCGAGUGGCGGACGGGUGAGGAAUACAUCGGAAUCUACUUUUUCGUGGGGGAUAGCGUAGGGAAACUUACGCUAAUACCGCAUACGACCUACGGGUGAAAGCAGGGGAUCUUCGGACCUUGCGCGAUUGAAUGAGCCGAUGUGGGAUUAGCUAGUUGGCGGGGUAAAGGCCCACCAAGGCGACGAUCGGUAGCUGGUCUGGGAGGAUGGUCAGCCACACUGGAAGUGAGACACGGUCCAGACUCCUACGGGAGGCAGCAGUGGGGAAUAUUGGACAAUGGGCGCAAGCCUGAUCCAGCCAGACCGCGUGGGUGGAGAAGGCCUUCGGGUUGUAAAGCCCUUUUGUUGGUAAAGAAAAGCAGCAGGUUAAUACCCCGCUGUUCUGACGGUACCCAGAGAAUAAGCACCGGCUAACUUCGUG
rnacentral:rRNA from 1 species